CCUGAAAGCAGGUCGCCAUCUGUGAGGAUUAAAGUUAGGACCAAAUGCUGCUCAGAAAUUGUUUUAAUCUCAAAAGUAGUUGGCAAGUUUUCAGAGUUCAUUUUCAAGGCCUGGUGUAUGCAUUGGUUACAUGAAAACCGUGUGACAACCUUGGAAGUCUGAAAGAGCAGGAGAGAGGCUAAGCACACACAUAUUGUGAUUUUAAGAGUCUCAAGGGCUGACACAAGCUGAGAUGAGGAAAUAUGACCUCCUACACGUGUUUUCCAUGAGGAAUAUGUUUGCUGUGCAGUCACUGAGUUAAAAGCAACCUUCAUUCCCUUGUGCACCAAGGUAAUUUGGAAAACAAGCCAGAGAAGUCAGGACUGCUAUUUCUCAGUCUGAUUUAACCAUUGACAGACUAUUUUUACAUCCACUAUGGAGAUGUUCAGGUAGUGCCUCUCCAGAGCUGUAGAUGUCUUCCCAGGAUAUUCCAUCAUUCUACACAGCAUUUAAUUCUUGGAGCUCACAGUCCAAGACUGUUAUCAGUCCAUUUUCACUCUAUUGAUCAAGACAUACUCAAGACUGGGUAAUUUAUAAAGAAAAUGAAUGGACUCACAGUUUCACGUUGCUGGGGAGGCCUCACAGUCCAGGCAAUCACAGUCUUACAUGGCAGCAAGCAAGAGCGAAUGAGAACCAAGCAAAAGGGAAACUCAUUAUAAAACCAUCAGCUAUUGUGAGACUUCUUCACUACCACAAGAAUAGUAUGGGGUAAACCUCCCCCAUGAUUCAAUUAUCUCCCACCAGGUUCCUCCCAGAGCACGUGGGAAUUAUGGGAGCUACAAUUCAAGAUGAGAUUUGGGUAGGUACACAGCCAAACUAUAUCAGUGACUCAUCUAGAAUUUUAUUCAUAUAGGUUUAAACAAUGGUUAACAUGUACAGUUAUAAGAUCAUUCUCAUUUACAAAUUUAAUGUUUA
rnacentral:lncRNA from 10 species